ensembl:snRNA U2 U2 spliceosomal RNA
AUCGCUUCUCGGCCUUUUGGCUAAGAUCAAGUGUAGUAUCUGUUCUUCACUCCCAGAUAGUUUUAGGUUGGGAAUCAUGACUCUUUUGUACAAAAAUGACAAGACGGAUUUAAAAAACUGGAGACCCAUAACUUUGUUAAACAUGGAUUGUAAAAUUUUUAGCAAACUUUUAACAACCCGAAUGUCG